GUCUACGGCCAUGCCACUCUGAACAAGCCCCAUCCCGUCUGGCAGGGUCGGGCCUGGUUAGUACUUGGAUGGGAGACCACCUAGGAAGACCAGGUGAUGUAGCCA
rnacentral:rRNA from 1 species